AACAAACGCUGGCGGCGUGCCUAACACAUGCAAGUCGUACGAGAAAGGGUCCUUCGGGGCCUGAGUAAAGUGGCGCACGGGUGAGUAACGCGUGGAUAAUCUGCCCUUCAGUUGGGAAUAACUCAUCGAAAGGUGGGCUAAUACCGAAUAAUGCUGUGAGACCUCGGUUGAUCAGCCAAAGAGAGCCUCUGCCUGCAAGCCCUCGCUGAAGGAUGAGUCCGCGUACCAUUAGCUAGUUGGUAGGGUAAUGGCCUACCAAGGCGACGAUGGUUAGCUGGUCUGAGAGGAUGAUCAGCCACACUGGAACUGAGACACGGUUCAGACUCCUACGGGAGGCAGCAGUGAGGAAUCUUGCGCAAUGGGGGCAACCCUGACGCAGCAACGCCGCGUGAGUGAGGAAGGUCUUCGGAUCGUAAAGCUCUGUCGGAUGGAAAGAACCGCAUAGGGGUAAACAGCCCCUGUGUCUGUCGGUACCAUCAAAGGAAGCACCGGCUAACUCCGUGCCAGCCGCCGCCGUAACAC
rnacentral:rRNA from 1 species